CCUACGGGUGGCAGCAGUGGGGAAUAUUGGACAAUGGGGGCAACCCUGAUCCAGCCAUGCCGCGUGUGUGAAGAAGGCCCUCGGGUUGUAAAGCACUUUCAGUGAGGAAGAACGCCUGGUGGUUAAUACCCAUCAGGAAAGACAUCACUCACAGAAGAAGCACCGGCUAACUCCGUGCCAGCAGCCGCGGUAAUACGGAGGGUGCGAGCGUUAAUCGGAAUUACUGGGCGUAAAGCGCGCGUAGGUGGCUUGAUAAGCCGGUUGUGAAAGCCCCGGGCUCAACCUGGGAAAGGCAUCCGGAACUGUCCAGCUAGAGUGCAGGAGAGGAAGGUAGAAUUCCCGGUGUAGCGGUGAAAUGCGUAGAGAUCGGGAGGAAUACCAGUGGCGAAGGCGGCCUUCUGGACUGACACUGACACUGAGGUGCGAAAGCGUGGGUAGCAAACAGGAUUAGAUACCCGGGUAGUC
rnacentral:rRNA from 1 species